ensembl:lncRNA
CCAGGACAGUGUACAACAGAAGGUCCUCCACACCAGGACAGUGUACAACAGAAGGUCCUCCACACCAGGACAGUGUACAACAGAAGGUCCUCCACACCAGGGCAGUGUUAAACAGAAGGUCAUCCACACCAGGACAGUGUUAAACAGAAGGACCUCUACACCAGGGCAGUGUAAAACAGAAGGACCUCCACACCAGGGCAGUGUUAAACAGAAGGACCUCCACACCAGGACAGUGUACAACAGAAGGUCCUCCACACCAGGACAGUGUACAACAGAAGGUCCUCCACACCAGGACAGUGUACAACAGAAGGUCCUCCACACCAGGGCAGUGUAAAACAGAAGGUCCUCCACACCAGGGCAGUGUGAAACAGAAGGACCUCCACACCAGAACAGUGUA